rnacentral:rRNA from 1 species
GACAGAGGGUGCAAACGUUGCUCGGAAUUACUGGGCGUAAAGAGCUCGUAGGUGGUUUGUCGCGUUGUUCGUGAAAACUCACAGCUCAACUGUGGGCGUGCGGGCGAUACGGGCAGACUGGAGUACUGCAGGGGAGACUGGAAUUCCUGGUGUAGCGGUGGAAUGCGCAGAUAUCAGGAGGAACACCGGUGGCGAAGGCGGGUCUCUGGGCAGUAACUGACGCUGAGGAGCGAAAGCGUGGGGAGCGAACAGG